AGGUGGUUUCUGCCCAUGGAUGCCCAGCCAAGGGAGAAAUGGGGGUGAAAUCAAGUCUACAUUUAGUUUACCAAGCUGUCUCCACCGCACCUUACUAAAAAGUGGUGCUUGUCUAUUUUGCACGAGGCUGCAAGUGGCCCUGGGCUUCACAUGAGAAAUCCCCUUCAUGGGGGUUUGGGCCAAUGUGGAUCUUCAAAAGUGGGUUAUCCAGACCCUGAGUCCAAUGGAAUGAUGUGAACACACCCUCUUUCAGCGCCCCAGCCCCAAGCUGCACUUCCCAAGAAAGGUUUUCUGCCUAUUAGCAUCAGAGAGAGAAACAAAAAGCUAUAUUUCAAUUUGUUUAUUGCUCUCAAGCAUCUGUUACUUUGCUAUGCUUUGCAGGGAAACUUGGCAUCUCAUAUUCAUAAACGGGCUGCUUUGGGUUUAAUUGUGCAACUAACUCGAGCUAUAAAACAGAAUCCACGGCUGCCUGGAGAGGGUUUUGAGAGAGAAGAAAAUGAGCCUCCAGAGCUACUUUGCUUAGAAGAUAAUCUGUGUGUUAACUGCACCCCCUGUAAGUGGUGCACAUUUACCUCUCAGUCUUGGGGUGUGCAGGAGUGAGCCGGGGUCCCCAUGCGUGAGCCUGGAGAGAAAGGCUGAUUUCUGACGGCCUGACCCUUGGAGACAGGCUGGGAAAACUGGCUGGGCCAGAUGGUCUGUCUGUAUCUCUGACUCCCAGUCUUCUGGCAACCAGUGACCAUCGGGCUGGGCGGUUGUGUGCAGGACCUUCUGCUUGGUGUUCCUCUAGGGGAAUGGUCCCCAUUUCAUCCUCAGUAGAGAAGCAUCUCUGGCAAAAAAAUCUAGCACAAACAUGGAAUCCAUAAUGAUGCAUGGUGAGGCAGGGAGUGAGAUUGGAAGGCAACAGCCCCAAGUUCAAAGUUCUGUCCAUCCAGUCGUCUUUGCUUCUCUUCAUUCUGUCUUCUGGGACUAUGGAUGGGAUUGACACCUGGAAGAUUCUCCUGUACUAUAGGCUUAAGGAAACAAGGUUAGGGGAGGGCUUUCCUCUUCCAAGCCAUCUCCCACAGACCCUGAAGUUAAAGAGGCAAAAACGAGGGGUUGGGGUGGUGGUGGUAAGUCACAUGAAAGUGAAAAACGCAAGGCUGAAGAUCUACCUGACAAAAAAAGACGAUGGUCAAGGUCGAUGUCUAGAUGAGAUCGGAGCCUGCCUAACUUUUCACAGCGGAUACAGCUGACAGUAGAUGUAUUUUUUCCUCCAUUUCGCAGAUGGGAAAACUGAGACGAGAGAAGUUACCCAAGGACAUCCAGCUCAAAAGUGGCAAAGUAGAGGUUGAACCCAGGAGCCUGUGGGCUUCCCUAGACCCUGCACCAGAAGGUGAUGGUUCGGGACCUGUCCCAGGGCUCAGGGAGAAGACACAGGGUCCGAAGCUCCUUCUGUGACAGAGUCCUGUGACUGUGGCUGUGCAGAGUCCUGCCGACACCUGCAUCCUUGUGGACCAGGCUUCUGCCCUUCCUUCUGUCUCGGCAGGAGCUCCGGUUUGGAGUCCAAUGAACCUGGGUUUGAAACUCAGCCCAACCUCUAACUAGUGUGAUCUUAGGCAAGUUACUGAACCUCGCUGUUCCUUGGGUUUCUUAUCUACAAAACAGAGACGAUCGUAAUAACAUUUCGCAGGGUUGUUGCAAGGAUUGAGACGAUCAAAUGAGAUAAGUUAGAUUGUGUAAAGCCCUUAGAAUGGCCCUGAGACAUAAUUCCAGUGUUAGAUGUCAUAAUUAACAUUUAUACAGUGGAAUUUGGGCCAAGUGUAGCUCAGCUUUCUUUCUUGACCACGUCUUUUCCCUUUUCCUCUGUUGCUGGGACUUGCCUUUCGCAGAGAAAUGAUGGAGCCCUUAUUCCCACCUGGGGCAGGACCCACCUGUCCUGGUUUUUAGAGACACCUGCAAACAAGCACAGGUGCUGAGAACACCCAACGGAAGAGCAAUCGCACCUCCAGCUUCUGCUGCCUCCACAACAGGCAGCGCCAAAGGCAGUGACAUGAGGACCGGGAGCGACUGUGUUAAAACUGAAGUCACGAUGUUGGGAUCUUGAGGGCUGAAGGUUCCAAAGGAAUGGUGUAUAUGUAAUUCUAUCUGACUUGAGAGUUCUCCCUUCCUGGAGCUCCGGAUGUGAUAAAAAGUUUACUUUCUAAAGCAUUUAAGUCAAAAACCCAAGUACCUGAUACAAAGAAAAUCACCAAGGGGCUACGUGAAUGACAAGUUUAAGAAGUGGUCACGUAUACAACGAAUUCUGACUAUCGCUUAGACCUUUCUAGAUCCAGUACUUGCUGCGAUCCUUAGACACUCUUCUUCGUGCAUCCUGGACUGCUUUGAAAAUACAGGAGUAUUUAAGUUUCCCCCAGCAGUUAGUACAUGUUUACACAUCUCUGCACAGAAUGCGCUUCCCAGCCUUGUCUUCUGGGUGGACUCCUGCUCACCCUUCCGACGCCGGCAUCCACAUCUCUUCCGCUGAGAAGCCCUCGUUAUCCCUCCAUGCAAGAAACAGCUCAUCCUCUGCGUCUCUCGGCUGCCUGAAUACCUUGCACAUGCCUGCAUUGUGCACUCAUUACACAGCCCUGUGUUACUUGUUCAAAUAAGCAACGCUCGAGGGCAGACACUGCCUUCUUCCCCUUCAUCCCUUCCAUGCCUAGCACAGUGCCGGCACACACCAGAUGCCAAGUAAACGCAGAGCAAAACACUGUCUUACGUACAAUCUAUAGGACGAUCCGAGUGCCUGGUAUUUUGGGGUUAGCGGGAGGGCUGGGAUAAAAUCUAAGCUGAUAGUGGCCUGCGCCCUCCUCGGGGUAGGUUAUGACCCUACAACUCUCUUGGAUUUUCAGACCCUGUCCUCUGUCCAAGUGAGAAUCUCUCGGGCCAGCACAGAAGGACAUGCACCCUUCACCAUACUUGGAGUUGGCCAGUCAGGGAAAAUUCACUUCCUUGACCACUUAUAAUCAUGUAAAAAGCCUUCAGCUAGAAUAAUGCUCUUGGUCUUUCCCCUCACCUUUUCUAUCCUCACAUUGACUUAACUGGUUGGCAGAUUUGGGAGAAGAAGUCACCAGGAUGCUGUGAUCAGCAGCCCUCCUUCUCAAGCCUGCUAGGACCAGCCAGUCUCAAGCAAAGGUAUUCCUGUCCUCUGGGCCAUCAGUGCAGAGCAGUGGGCUCUGUGGGGGACACCUGCUGUCACCUGGCUCUGCUGGUACCAGUGACUCUGACCCAGCAGCACCUUUCAGCUGCAGAACUAGAGUCACAUCCUCUGACCACCUUCACUGGUGACAGAGCUGACAUUUUGAUUGCCAUGUGUUUGACUUUUGACUCAAUUGGCUCUGAACUUGGGAAGGGAAGAAAAGAAUGAAUUACGUCAUUGAUUCAAUUGCAAUGGUCAAUUGCAUUGAUUCAGUGCAAUGGUCAUGCACCAUUUAAUGGUAGGGAUAUGUUCUGAGAAAUGCAUCAUUAGGCGAGUCCGCCAUUGCGUGAACAUCAUAGUGCACUUAUAUAUACUGAUCUUGUACAGCCUACUACAGUGUGGUACAACCUGUUGCUCCCAGGCCACAAGCCUGUACAGCAUGUGACUGUACCAAAUGCUGCAGGCAACUGUAACACAAUGGGAAAUGCUUGUGCAUCUGAACGUAUCUAAAUAUAGAAAAAGGACAGUAUAAGGGCAACAUACAGAUAAAAAAACAAUACACCUGUGUAGGGCUCUCACUGUGAACGGAGCUGGCAGGACUGAAAGAUGCUCUGGGUGAUCAGUGAGAGAGUGGUCAGUGAAUUCACACCUACCACCUAGGACAUUACCGUCCACUGCUGUAGACAUAUCAUAAGCACUUACACUUAGGCUACACUAAAUUUAUAAAACAAUGUUUUUCUUUUGUCAAUAAUACAUUAAACUUACCUUACUGCAAUUCUUUCUACUUUGUAAACUUUUUACAUUUUUUUAAAAACUUUUUGACUUUUUUUUGUAGUAACACUUAGCUUAAAGCACAAACCCAUGGUACAACCAUAGAAAAAUAUCUUCUUUCUUCAUAU